GAUGAAGAACAUAGCGAAAUGCGAUAAGUAAUGUGAAUUGCAGAAUUCAGUGAAUCAUCGAAUCUUUGAACGCACAUUGCGCCCGCCAGUAUUCUGGCGGGCAUGCCUGUCCGAGCGUCAUUUCAACCCUCGAACCCCUCCGGGGGGUCGGCGUUGGGGAUCGGCCCUCCCUUAGCGGGUGGCCGUCUCCGAAAUACAGUGGCGGUCUCGCCGCAGCCUCUCCUGCGCAGUAGUUUGCACACUCGCAUCGGGAGCGCGGCGCGUCCACAGCCGUUAAACACCCAACUUCUGAAAUGUUGACCUCGGAUCAGGUAGGAAUACCCGCUGAACUUAAGCAUAUCAAUAAGCGGAGGA
rnacentral:misc_RNA from 1 species